CGCAUCUGUGCAUGCAGCAUAUCAAUAAGCGGAGGAAAAGAAACUAACAGGGAUUCCCCUAGUAACGGCGAGUGAAGCGGGAAGAGCUCAAAUUUGAAAUCUUAAAGGGUUUCCCUUUACGAAUUGUAGUUUAAAGAAGUGUUUUCUGUUGAGGUUUUGGUAAAAGUUCUUUGGAAUAGGACAUCAUAGAGGGUGAGAAUCCCGUAUUUGACCUUUACUUUCAACUUUGUGAUACACUUUCAAAGAGUCGGAUUGUUUGGGAAUGCAGUCCAAAAUGGGUGGUAAAUUUCAUCUAAAGCUAAAUAUUGGCGAGAGACCGAUAGCGAACAAGUACCGUGAGGGAAAGAUGAAAAGAACUUUGAAAAGAGAGUUAAACAGUACGUGAAAUUGUCAAAAGGGAAGCGUUUGACACCAGUGUUGUUUUUCUGAAAAUCAAUUAAAGAACUGUUUAUGCUAAGCUGUUUAGACUUUAUCAGCUAACUGUUUAGUUUUGAGCUUUUCUUUAAUGCACUUUUCAGUUAACAAGUCAACAUCAAUUUCUUUUGCUGUAAAAAAGCUUGAGGAAGGUGGCUUGAGAUUCGUCUUAAGUGUUUAUAGCCUCUUGCCUAUGCAGUCGGAGAGAUUGAGGUCUGCAGCGUAGAUCCUUCGGGGCUAAAUGCAUUUGUGCUAAGUUAUAACAUUUUAUAGACAACUUGUUGACUAUGAUUUGUCUUGUAGCUUACUCGCUUAUGUUAUUUUACCUACGCUUAGGAUGUUGACAGCAGUAUAGACUGU
rnacentral:rRNA from 1 species